UACGGGGGGAGCAAGCGUUGUUCGGAUUUACUGGGCGUAAAGGGCGCGUAGGCGGCCACCGCAAGUCGAUUGUGAAAUCUCCGGGCUUAACCCGGAAAGGUCAACCGAUACUGCGGGGCUAGAGUGCAGAAGGGGCAACUGGAAUUCUCGGUGUAGCGGUGAAAUGCGUAGAUAUCGAGAGGAACACCUGCGGCGAAGGCGGGUUGCUGGGCUGGCACUGACGCUGAAGUGCGAAAGCUAGGGGAGCGAACGGG
rnacentral:rRNA from 1 species